GAGUUUGAUCCUGGCUCAGGAUGACGCUGGCGGCGUGCCUAAUACAUGCAAGUCGAGCGAACAGAUGAGAAGCUUGCUUCUCUGAUGUUAGCGGCGGACGGGUGAGUAACACGUGGGUAACCUACCUAUAAGACUGGGAUAACUCCGGGAAACCGGGGCUAAUACCUGAUAAUAUUUUGAACCGCAUGGUUCAAUAGUGAAAGGCGGCUUCGGCUGUCACUUAUAGAUGGACCCGCGCCGUAUUAGCUAGUUGGUAAGGUAAUGGCUUACCAAGGCGACGAUACGUAGCCGACCUGAGAGGGUGAUCGGCCACACUGGAACUGAGACACGGUCCAGACUCCUACGGGAGGCAGCAGUAGGGAAUCUUCCGCAAUGGGCGAAAGCCUGACGGAGCAACGCCGCGUGAGUGAUGAAGGUUUUCGGAUCGUAAAACUCUGUUGUUAGGGAAGAACAAAUUUGUUAGUAACUGAACAAGUCUUGUCGGUACCUAACCAGAAAGCCACGGCUAACUACG
rnacentral:rRNA from 1 species